rnacentral:rRNA from 1 species
UACAGAGGUCUCAAGCGUUGUUCGGAUUCAUUGGGCGUAAAGGGUGCGUAGGUGGCGCGCUAAGUCAGGUGUGAAAUUUCGGAGCUUAACUCCGAAACUGCAUUUGAUACUGGCGUGCUUGAGGACUGGAGAGGAGACUGGAAUUCAUGGUGUAGCAGUGAAAUGCGUAGAGAUCAUGAGGAAGACCGGUGGCGAAGGCGGGUCUCUGGACAGUUCCUGACACUGAGGCACGAAGGCCAGGGGAGCAAACGGG